GAUGAACGCUGGCGGCGUGCCUAAUACAUGCAAGUCGAGCGAACAGAUAAGGAGCUUGCUCCUUUGACGUUAGCGGCGGACGGGUGAGUAACACGUGGGUAACCUACCUAUAAGACUGGGAUAAAUUCGGGAAACCGGAGCUAAUACCGGAUAACAUUUGGAACCGCAUGGUUCUAAAGUGAAAGAUGGUUUUGCUAUCACUUAUAGAUGGACCCGCGCCGUAUUAGCUAGUUGGUAAGGUAACGGCUUACCAAGGCGACGAUACGUAGCCGACCUGAGAGGGUGAUCGGCCACACUGGAACUGAGACACGGUCCAGACUCCUACGGGAGGCAGCAGUAGGGAAUCUUCCGCAAUGGGCGAAAGCCUGACGGAGCAACGCCGCGUGAGUGAUGAAGGGUUUCGGCUCGUAAAACUCUGUUAUUAGGGAAGAACAAACGUGUAAGUAACUGUGCACGUCUUGACGGUACCUAAUCAGAAAGCCACGGCUAACUACGUG
rnacentral:rRNA from 1 species